UACGAAGGGUGCAAGCGUUACUCGGAAUUACUGGGCGUAAAGCGUGCGUAGGUGGUGCGUUAAAGUCUGUCGUGAAAGCCCCGGGCUCAACCUGGGAAUGGCGAUGGAUACUGGCGCGCUAGAGUGCGGUAGAGGAGAGUGGAAUUCCCGGUGUAGCAGUGAAAUGCGUAGAGAUCGGGAGGAACAUCAGUUGCGAAGGCGGCUCUCUGGACCAGCACUGACACUGAGGCACGAAAGCGUGGGGAGCAAACAGG
rnacentral:rRNA from 1 species